rnacentral:rRNA from 2 species
UGGGGAAUAUUGCACAAUGGGCGCAAGCCUGAUGCAGCGACGCCGCGUGAGGGAUGACGGCCUUCGGGUUGUAAACCUCUGUUAGCAUCGAAGAAGCGAAAGUGACGGUAGGUGCAGAGAAAGCGCCGGCUAACUACGUGCCAGCAGCCGCGGUAAUACGUAGGGCGCGAGCGUUGUCCGGAAUUAUUGGGCGUAAAGAGCUUGUAGGCGGUUGGUCGCGUCUGCUGUGAAAGGCUGGGGCUUAACCCUGGUUUUGCAGUGGGUACGGGCUAACUAGAGUGCAGUAGGGGAGACUGGAAUUCCUGGUGUAGCGGUGGAAUGCGCAGAUAUCAGGAGGAACACCGAUGGCGAAGGCAGGUCUCUGGGCUGUAACUGACGCUGAGAAGCGAAAGCAUGGGGAGCGAACAGG